CAACUAGAGAAAGAGAACUAAAGAAGCUACUUGUCGUGUAAUAUCUCCAGUGUGAGUGAGAGAUGUUCUAGUUAAUGGCUUUUCCUUGAUCUCGUCUUCUUCUUGGGUUCGUGGUUUGCCUCUCGGGGGAGUGAUUUCAAAUCUUGUUUCGGUGGUUUUGGUUGUGGGUGAUGUUUCACUGCCUGGUCUCCCUCCCGCUUGAGGUCCGGUUCCGGUCUUAUUGGUUGUGUGAGGUGGUGGUGGAUUCAGUCUCGAUCGUUACCGACGGUACUCGUGUCUCCCUCCUCGUAUGGUCUGCUCAGCUUUCUUCUGGAUUCGGGGAGUUGGGGCUUCCUAUCCGAAGCAGUUGAUUGCAUUUUCAGGACGAGGUUGCCAAUAUUGGAUCACUGAUAAAAUUGGAUUCCAUCGAUUUCGUCUCGUCAAAAGUCAUUGACGUCGUCACUCAUCACUGUCAGGGCCGUCGUUUGUUUUCUCCAUCCGAAACUGAUUUGCACGCUUCAUCCGAGUCCGACUUUGCUGCUCUUUGCUGUUGAUUAAGGUGGUCCGGGUCUCUGCUUGAGGUCUUGUUGUGCGAGGUGGUGAUGGUGGAUUCAGUCUCAGGUACUCGUGCCUGCCUCCUCGUAUGGUCUGCUCUGCUCUGCUUUGCGACGAGGUUGCCAAUAUUGGAUCACUGAUAAAAUUGGAUCUAUCCAUUUCGUCUGGCCAUGUCAUUGACGUCAGGGUCGCUGUCUUUCUCCAUCCCAAACUGAUUUGCAAGCUUUCUUCUUGUGUUCGUUUGCUUUUUUAUAUUUGGUGGAGCGGAACUAGACAAACAUGUUUCAAGAACUGAAUGUGUGGUGAAUAAAUAGCAGAAUGCAGAGUUCCUUUUGUUUGACCGUUUCGAGUGUAUCGCAUAUCCUGAUGCCUGAGUCAGGACACAUUCUUAUUUUUCAAUUCACUACUGUUUUGCUUCACCCAAACAAAACAGAAUAACUCAAUGCAGUUUUCCUUCACAGCACUUUCAUCUACAAGGAAGAAUCUUAGAAUAAGACAUUUAACUCAAUGUAUAAAUAACACAUGCUACAAGUCAAAUAUAAAGUGAUAACGAAGCUUGAAUUCUUCUUAGCACAUAACACAUUUAACUCAAUGUAUAUAACACAUGAUAAUGUAGCCAAAGCAAGUAGAGC